UUGGGCAUUCGCCUGAGGACAAGAGCAACUCACUGCAAAGCACAGUGCGCAUAACAUGGACUGUGGCCCACCGGCGACGAGCUGGCUGGAGACGGAGCAUUACACAAACAGCUGAGGCUUCCGCACCCCACAGAAGUCAGGGGACGGCUGUAGAAAGCACACACUGUAUCCCCAGCUCUUGGCACCAAGCCUGGUGCAUGGAGGUCACCACUGAAGGAGCAAAUGCGUGUCAUACUGAAGGUGGAGUUUAAACCCACUACUAGCCACAGACAAGGAAACUCUGAGAAAGGUUAACACGCAGAACUUUCUACGGGGAGCACGCCCAGCCGGCAGAUCAGGGUGCAGACGGGGUAAGGGCACCCCGAGUGCAAGCCACCAGAGAGAGCCAGAAAAGACCCCUUGGGAUGCCCCUGUGCUUGGCUCUGGGCCAGGAAUGAGGAAGAGCAGAGCAGAGCAGAGCUGGUGUGUCUGCUCCCCCGGCUCCCCAGGAAUAAGUGUGUGACAUCAUCUUGGUGCCAUUCCCUCGACCACCAACGCAGUCUCCUAGCUUCCUUUGUUCAGACUCUGGGCUCAACACGUGACCUCAGAUCACCUGACUUCCCAAGAAAAUCUACCCACAGAGAAACCAGGGGCUGGGGCAGAUGCUUCCUUUGGAAAUGUAAACAACGCUGGAGGUCAAGAAGGUUCUCCUCCUAGCUUAGGUAUCUACGUCUCUCCAGCCAAGAAGGAGGCCAGGAAGAGCUCUCCGGCCCCCAAAAGAAAAAAGCUACAAUAAAUCAAACCAAAUCACAGGCAAACGCAUCUAAGUUACCUUGCACUUCUCAAGGUUUCUCCGUGUGUUAGUCUCAGCACUGGGUACUUCACAGACAUUAUAUCACUUUAGGGUCUAUUUGUAAGUAUUUAUAAACCCAAUAAAAGCCUCACAGAUUACCUGAGGAGACGUGGAAAAAUGGCCGUCCUUCACCUCUGGUGACGGUGAUGAAAAUAGCAAAGCCUCUCCCCGCCAUUUCCCACUCUCCCAGUCCCCACCCCAACUCUCCCCAAGGGCAACACAAGUGCCCCUUUCAGCCAGCAGUAACAGGCCAGGCUUCUAUUGGCCCCCAAAUCCUAAUAACUGCUGUUUCCCUUGAUAACCCGAGGCUUGGUGAGAUCCAGAAA